UUUAGUGAGCAGUUUUCUUUAUUGUUUUUUAUUUAAAAAGUACGGAGAAAAGUUUGAACUUAUUAGUAAUGCCGUUGCUAAAAGAGGAUUUUAUAUAACAUUUCUUACUCGUCUUUCUCCACUUUUUCCAUUUGGAUUAAAUAAUUACCUGCUUGGAUGCACGUCUAUCGAUUUUUGGAAGUUUGUAGCAGCCACGUGGCUAGGGGUUUUACCAGGAACGAUUGUUUAUUGUCAUAUUGGAAGUUUAGGGAAACGCGUUACGGAAAACGAGAGCGUUUUUACUUAUAAGAAACUAAUACUUUUUGUUGGGGUUAUUGCGGCUUUGUUAACGUUCAAGUACAUAGCAAACAUAGCAACAGCCGCUUUA